rnacentral:lncRNA from 1 species
AAAAGGUUUCCAAACUGUGAAGAGUAUCAUGGCACAGUGUUGAAAACCAAAAUCCUGAUAAAGUUUAUACAGAAAAUAAUUAUUUCAGCACCAAGGACACCUUAAGUAAAAUAAGGUUAAUAGAAUUCUUGAAGAAAUGAAAAAGACAAUUGUGUAUGAUAGUCAUCUACUUAAAAGCUAUCAUCACUGCUUGUCAUACAUAUGAUUUCUAUUAGAUCUAUUUUUGAUGAAAACUCCUUUUGAUCUUCUGAAAAAUAGAAAAUGAUCUAUUGCAUAUCUUUCAUAUUUUUCAGUAGUUUAUGUUAUGCUUGAUAUGGUCUUUUGAAAAUAAUGCCAAAUCUGAUAAAGAUAUUUCUAUCCUUGGAUAUCAUUCAUCAAGCAAUGCAUAUAGAACAUUCAAUGAAAAGAUUCGAGUUGUAGAAAUAUCA